ACCCAGCUGACGGGUCUCAAAUAGGACGAAACGCGCUUUCUGGAU
rfam:Schistosoma mansoni strain Puerto Rico chromosome 3, complete genome